rnacentral:tRNA from 1 species
UCCUCGGUCGUAUAGUGGGGAGUAUUUCCGCCUGUCACGUGGAAGGCCCGGGUUCGAUUCCCGGUCGAGGAG